rnacentral:lncRNA from 1 species
UAUUUAUUUUUUAUUAUUAUUAUUUUUUUAUUUUUGUAUUUUUUUUGUAUUUUUUUAUUUGAAAUUGGGGGUGGUGUUGGAUCAUUUUUAUAGGGUGGAUUAGGGUUAGUAAGAGUUUGUUGAGAUGGGGAGUUGGGGCAUUGAGAGGUUGUAGUGGGGUUUUGCUUGAAAUAGUGAGAGGGUUUGGUAUGGGAAAUUUUUAUUUGUUAUGAAAUGUGGGGUUUAGGGGUCUUAAUGUUGUUUUUUUGUUUGCUUCUUUUUUUCUUUUUUUAUUUAGGUUUUGAUGAGUUAAUUAGCUCAUAAUUAAGCAAUUACAACAUUUAUAGAUCACAAGAGACUAGUUUUUAAUUAGGUUAAACAAAAAAGGAUCCUUAAUUCUAGAUAUUUUUAGGGAAAACUUCAAAAACACCCCCUGUGGUUUCAUAGUUUUUCACUUUGCCCCCCUGUGGUUUAAAAUGUAUCAAUUUGCCCCCCUGUGGUUUCUUUUUUCUCUUUUUCUUAUCAAAUUUCAUUAUUUUUUUUUCUUAAAUCAGUGAUAAAAUUAAAAUUAAAGGGUACUAAAGUGUAUAUUUGAUAAAUCUAGAUAGGUAUUUGAAGUUUUUUGUAUAUAAUUUAAUGAAAUAUUAACAAAAAAACUAUCGAAAAGAUAAAAACGAAACCACAGGGGUGCAAUUUGAUACAUUUUAAACCACAGGGGGGCAAAGUGAGAAACGACGAAACCAUAGGGGGUGUUUUUGAAGUUUU